GAUAGAAGAUGGAUGUUUCAGAGAGACUGUUCUGACCAUAUGGCUUGAUUAGAAUUCCCUGAGGGAUGUUAGAACAAUGAAGCAGAAGGCAUCCGAGGUCCUGGAUGACUUUGUGGAGUGGAAUUACCCACCUGCUCUGAACCACUUGUCUACUUCCAGAAAGCGAUGUCAAAGAGAAGUUUCUCAAGAUGACGGUAUGGCUCCUAUAUUUGCCAAUAGCUGGGGCAAGUUCAUCUGGCUUCUCUGGAACUCCACAUUCUCACCUGCAACAAAAAGCAUUCAGGUGAGGAUAAACAUCUACAAAAGUAGUAUAGUGGUGGACAUGCAGUCAGCUCGUGUUUUCUUUUCUACUCCCAGAAUCCCAUGUCCUGGCGCAUAGUUCUAGUUUAGCUCUGUUCAGAAGUAGUAGUAUGAGGUCAUAAUAUGCAGUUUUAGGGGCAUUAAGAAUAGUUUCAGUGAGAUAAAGGCAUCUUUAUAUUUUUUAUAGACCAUUGGGGUCAACUAGGUUUAAAAAUCACUGGGCAAAAUUUUGCAAACGAUCUUAAUUAUUUUAAUGUUUAAAAGCCUAUAAUCUUGUACUUCUGAUGUCUGGGUAAUUAAGCUUUGAACACCAGUGACUUCUAAUCUUCCAUAGUUUCAUAAUCUUGCAUUUGUUUCACUGCAGA
rnacentral:lncRNA from 1 species